rnacentral:rRNA from 1 species
GACAGAGGGUGCAAACGUUGUUCGGAAUUACUGGGCGUAAAGCGCGUGUAGGCGGCUAAGUAAGUCGGGCGUGAAAUCCCACGGCUCAACCGUGGAAGUGCACUCGAAACUGCAUAGCUAGAGUCCUGGAGAGGAAGGUGGAAUGCUUGGUGUAGAGGUGAAAUUCGUAGAUAUCAAGCGGAACACCGGUGGCGAAGGCGGUCUUCUGGACAGUGACUGACGCUGAGACGGCGAAAGCGUGGGGAGCAAACAGG